GAGUUUGAUCCUGGCUCAGGGUGAACGCUGGCGGCGCGCUUAAUGCAUGCAAGUCGUACGUGCCUUCGGGCAAGUGGCAGACGGCUGAGUAACGCGUGAGUAACGUGCCCUUCGGUGGGGUAUAGCCUCGGGAAACUGAGAGUAAUCCCGCAUACGAUCCGGUGAUCUUGGUUGCCGGAUGAAAGCCUUCGGGCGCCGAGGGAGCGGCUCGCGUCCUAUCAGGUAGUUGGUGGGGUAAUGGCCCACCAAGCCGAUGACGGGUAGCUGGUCUUAGAGGACGAUCAGCCAGAGGGGGACUGAGACACGGCCCAGACUCCUACGGGAGGCAGCAGUGGGGAAUAUUGGACAAUGGGCGAAAGCCUGACCCAGCGACGUCGCGUGGGGGAUGAAGGCCUUAGGGCUGUAAACCCCUUUUCCCGGGGAAGAGAAAGGACGGUACCCGGGGAAGAAGCCCCGGCAAACUACGUGCCAGCAGCCGCGGUAAUACGUAGGGGGCAAGCGUUGUUCGGAAUUACUGGGCGUAAAGGGCGUGUAGGCGGUUCGGCAAGUCUCUUGUGAAAGCUCCCGGCUUAACUGGGAGAGGUCAAGGGAUACUAUUCGGCUCGAGGGCAGUAGAGGAAGGCGGAAUUCCCGGUGUAGCGGUGAUAUGCGUAGAUAUCGGGAGGAACACCAGUGGCGAAAGCGGCCUUCUGGGCUGUGCCUGACGCUGAGGCGCGAGAGCGUGGGGAGCAAACUGGAUUAGAUACCCUGGUAGUC
rnacentral:rRNA from 1 species